GACGAACGCUGGCGGCGUGCUUAACACAUGCAAGUCGAACGGAAAGGCCUCUUUCGGGGGGUACUCGAGUGGCGAACGGGUGAGUAACACGUGAGUAACCUGCCCUUGACUUUGGGAUAACUUCAGGAAACUGGGGCUAAUACCGGAUAGGAGCUCCUGCUGCAUGGUGGGGGUUGGAAAGUUUCGGCGGUUGGGGAUGGACUCGCGGCUUAUCAGCUUGUUGGUGGGGUAGUGGCUUACCAAGGCUUUGACGGGUAGCCGGCCUGAGAGGGUGACCGGCCAAAGUGGGAUAGAGAACGGGCCAAGCCCCAUCGGGGGGGAAGGGGGGGGGAAUUUGACAGAGGGGGGGGAGGCUUGAGCCGCCACCGCCGGGUGCGGGAUGCGGGCCUGGGGUUGGAAAACCCUUUUCGCCCAGGAAGAGUUUUUGGGGGCGGGUAGUGGUAAAAGAACCACCGCCAAACUAGGC
rnacentral:rRNA from 1 species